rnacentral:tRNA from 1 species
GCUUAGGUAGUUUAAUAAAAACGUUGAUUUGUGGUAUCAGAAAUAUAAAUGCUAUUCUAGGUU